AAUGCCUCCAGGUUUUUGCUCCUCCAGCCGGACAGUAGCGCAGCGAAGCAGGGGGGCACGGCCGCUCCGGGUCCGGUGCCAGCUCCCGAAUCCCAGAGGGGCUAAAAAUACCCCGUCUGGAUGUUUGGAGCCCGGGGCAGGGGGGGGACAGGCACAUACCCCCCCCCGAACAGCACUUUCACAACCCCUGGCAGCGCUGCUGGUGCUCCCUCCAACCUUCUGCUGUUUAUCUUCCCAGGCUCCAAAGUCCUUAUUGAACAGCCCAGAUUGUUCUCCUGUUUAUUGGUACAGAGGGAAGGGGGGGAGGGUUUGGGGCAUAGGGUGGGGGGUCCCCGGGGGUCUCUCGAGCCCGCACAGCCCCUGUGCCAUGCGUUGUGAUGCGAGCGGGGCAGAGACCCGCCGCCGGGCAGGAGUGGCAUCACGCAAUUACAGUGUUGGGAGUAUUUAUAGCUCUUGGCCCCGCGCGUCGGAAAAUGCUUCCCAGACCACCCGGCAAAAUCUGCUCCUUGCAAGGGGCAUGGAAACACCACCCCCCCAACCUCCCCCCCCUUCCCAGCUCUGCUCUUCUCGCUUUUCCUUAUCGCCCUUCAGCCCCCCAAAAUGUGGCACCUCUCUGCCUCAGGCACAGGGGUGCUGGGACCCCCCCCCAGUGCAGCCUGGGGCUCUGCAGGGUUCUGGGACCCCCCCGUUGCAGCUCAGGGCUCUGCAGAGUGUCAGGACCCCCCCUUCUGCACUCAGGACCCUGCAGGAUGUCAAGACCCCCCCUGUUACAGCUCAGGGCUCUGCAGGGUUCUAGGACCCCCUGGUUGCAGCUCAGGACCCUGCAGGGUGUCAGGACCCCCUCAUUGCAGCUCAGGACCCUGCAGGGUGUCAGAACCCCCCGUUGCAGCUCAGGACCCUGCAGGGUGUCAAGACCCCCCCAGUACAGCUCAGGGCUCUGCAGAGUGUCAGGACCCCCCUUCCUGCAGCUCAGGACCCUGCAGGGUGUCAAGACCCCCCCAUUGCAGCUCAGGACCCUGCAGGGUGUCAAGACCCCCCGUUGCAGCUCAGGACCCUGCAGGGUGUCAAGACCCCCCCGUUGCAGCUCAGGGCUCUGCAGGGUGUCAAGACCCCCUCUCUCUGCACUCAGGACCCUGCAGGGUGUCAAGACCCCCCCGCUGCAGCUCAUGGCCCCACAGCCCCCUCCCGCAGCACACUUGGGGGGGCUUCUCCUUCCCCCCAGUGCCUCCCUAGUCCCCGGAGGAUGCUCGGUCCCGGCGUGGUGGCCGUGGCCUUCCCUUGAGGCUGUUGUCCUC
rnacentral:lncRNA from 1 species